AAGGAUCAGAGAAGGCUUCAGAGGUGAAUCAGUGAGGAGAGGUUCCUGAGAGACGAACGGGCGUCGGAGGAGUUAUGUGCAGCACAACUGGGACGCGCUGGAGCACGUGACACAAGGCACUGUGUCACAGAAUCCCCAGACAUACAGCCUGUUGCAAGGGUGCAGAGGACUCAUGCUCCGGCUAGUCCCCACGCAGGCUCCAGACCCAGCUAUGAGGCCAAACUGUGUGAACAAAUGGUGCUGAUGGACCAGGGGCAAGACGGAAUCUCCUUAGACAGGCAGGCCAAAGGGUCUGUCCACUGACUUGCCAGGCCUUUUGAGAAGGUGAAUCAGCGUGUGUUAGCUCAGGGCAGAGGGCCUGGCGGUGAGACGUGAGAACAGCCAAUGUCAUGGCGGUGGGGGAGUGGACGUGAGCCAUCUGGGGCCCAGCAAACAGCAUGUUGAAAAAAACGAGGAACUCAAAGGCAGAUGAGCCUACCACGCUGGGAACAGUUGGGAGUACAUUGCUCAAGCCCCGGCCAGUUUUAUGUCACUGCUGGUGUGAAGCAGUGAACAGUGACCCAGCAUGCAUCCAGGUGGCGGGACAGAGUCAGACUCUCCAGGGCAGAGAGACUCUAAAACUGACGGCCAGGUCUUGCUCAGACUACGGGCCUGAGGGAAGAUCCAAGACUGAAACAGGUGCCGGAGAUUACAUCCAGGUUGCUGGUCUUGGUGGUGAACAAUACCCUUGCUUACCCCCAAGCCUUCUCACUAACCCUGACGCUCUUUAUACAGGGCUUGGAAUGGAGGGGGUGGAGUUGAGGAGAUCACAGAGGACCUAGGAGUGUGUGUAUCGGAGAGAGAUAGGAAACCACUGACCGUUCAGCACACAUUCAGAAUUACUGCCUGUCCCAGGGAGGGACCCACAGCUCCGGCGCUCCGUUCAGCAUCUGGAAGAGCAUAGCUCGCUGUGAGCGGCCGCCCCAGAAGACUGUAUCCCACCCAGCCAGCUCUCCUGCCUGCUUGCCUCUGCCCCACACCAGGACACUUCAUACUGUCAGAACCACUGGGUGUGUGAGCUUGUGAGAGGGUGUGUGGGCACACAUGUCCCUGUGUGGGGUGUGGAGGUCAGAGGGCAACUUGGAGGAAUUGGUUCUCUCCUUCCACCACUGGGGCCCAGGAAUCAAGCCGAGGUUCCCAGACGUGGUAGCAGCCUCCCUUACCUGUUAAACCAGUGCUUCCCAGACUUCCUAAUGCUGUGACCUCAUGCUGUGCUGACCCCCGCCCAUGACAUUAUCUCUGUUGGUAUUUUAUAACUGUAAUUUUGCUACUAUUAUGAAUCACAAUGUAAAUGUCUGUUUUCUGAU
rnacentral:lncRNA from 1 species